UUGUAUUAAAUUGUCUUAUUUGGGAUUUGCUCAUGAGGAUGGUAAGAUUUAAUGAUGCGUUGCAUAAAUAUGUUAAGCGAGGCAAGAUUAACUUUUUUUUUUUUUUGUUUUAAU